ensembl:lncRNA
CUUGGUUUAGAAUAUAAUUUAUUAUUUCUUUGCUUUGGGUAAAACAUUACCAGACACGUUUCGUUUUCGUGAGAUUCAUCCUAUUAUAUCUAAUACUAUGGCAUUUCUUCAUUUCAAGUGUGCUUUUAUAGUUUCUGCGCCACUGUAAAGGGUUAAAACAUAUUUGGCCAGACGUCAAAUGCUCUCUGAUUCCGCACAGCGAUCAGAUGAGAGAGCUGCACGUUUCUCUGAGUCUCCGGGUCCAUGUUGGUUGAUCUGCUCUGCUGGGUCAUUUCAGGCCACGUCUGUCCGAUCACAGAAGCAAACGCUGGUAUUACAGGGAUAUCUAAUAAAGGACUUACACACAUACUGUGCUGCAGCUUCGAGCUGUUGUUCCACUGCAGUUUGCUCCAUGUAGCGAGUUUGAUUGAAAGGUGAUCUGACCAAUCAUAACACAGAAUCUGCCAUUUUGUCCAACAAACAAAUCUGACAGGAGAGUGGAUUAACGUCGGUGGACUUGAACUUGAAAAAUGGUGUGUAUUGACAUCUUUCGCAGUUGAAACAAGAUGCCUCCUGAUGUUCACUUAUGUUUAUUUUGUGUUAUAACUAGUCAAGUGGAAGAGAUGAACAGUUCACAUGCCCCUUCGCUACAGAGAUCUGUCACAAAAAACAGUAUUUAUUGUUUGAAUUUCUUACGAAAUGACAAAAUUUGAAAGUUGAGACUUUGUUUCAUACCGAAAGCCCCCUGCUCUGUCUUGUCUGUCAGUGCUUUUCCGUUUCCUCUUUGCUCCGCAAUGUAUUUUUCACUGCAUGAGAACAUGAUUUGUGGCAUGAUAGCCAACGGACGGCUUGUCAGACAUAGCAACAGUAACAAAGGUGGGCGGGCCUCUGCGAACGGGUCAGUUAAGAAAGCAUUCAUCUAUCCAUUCAUUCCAUUCUUCAUUCAUCUCGCAUUAAACUAUACAUGAAACUGUCCAUCCUUUCUUCUGUCUGUCUGUCUGCCCUUCCAUCUUUACAGCCAUCCAUCUGUCCAUAUGUUCAUCCAUCCUUCUCUACAUGUCUAUCCAUUCUGUUCAGAGUAAUUAAGCAUCUGAUUAUACAAAUGCAGAUAAGUCUGCUGGAGCAGAGUUUUCUGGAAAGUGAGCUGGUGAAUCUCUUUGUAUCUUUGAAUCUCUAAUACAAACUACAUAAAAAAAGCCUUUGUUUUGUCCAGAUUUUGUUCAAACAUCUGACAUCUUACCCAUUCAUUCUGUUUUGGAGUAUAUUAUGGCCUUGAUCUCUUCUUUGUUCCACUGCUGUCAGUGUUUUGGUUUGGUAACCAAACACACUUUUAUUUCGACCAUUUGAAUUUAUUACAUAGUCUAAUAAACACUAUUCCUAUUUUUGUAAUAAUAAAAAUAGAAAAAAUUGUCUGUUGUUACAUGCUAUUUAAAGGAAUAUUCUAAUUAUUCAUAGACCUCUAAUCUGAAUUUGGGAAAAAAGUAAUUGCCUACAAAUCCAAUAUGUAUCCAUACAUUUGACAGCUGUCAAGGAGUAGGCAUUUCAACCUAUUGUCUAGUACUGUAAGUGAUUGUGACAAACCCUAGAUGUUUGCUGUUUUAAGCACUAUUCAGAUGGGAUUAUCUAAAUGAUGUUUUAGUUACGGUUCUUAACUUGUUGUUUUAUGAACUGACUGGAACAGAAUUGAGAUUGCUGUAGUCAUUAAUAGAGUGAGUGUUACAGAAGGUCAUGCGCUCUGAAUGUGUGCAUUACGAAAAAUAAAAAAUGAAACGAUUAUUCAUGUGAUUACAACAACAUGCAUAUAAUUACCUGUUGCAGCUUUGCCGGUGGCUGUUCUCAGCAGUCCAUGAUCAGAAUUUGUGGUUUAUCUUACAUCUGAAGGGAGGAAAAUUCCAAAACUGUUUAUAUACCUUUCUGUAAUUAACUACAGCAGUCACAGGGAAAAACGCAUCUCUCUCACACCUCCUUUCUCAUGAACACUGUCAACUGCCAAAAGAACGACACUAUAUUCCAAGGACAAGGGCAGUAUUUUUACAUUAAGCAUUUUCUCCCACUUUAAACCCCAUUAUAAGAAAACACCAUAGCAUUGUGUAGAGUGCUAAGCAAAUGGCCUUGGAAGAUGCUAUAUUUUUGGCACCUUAUUGAUCAUAAAUGCUGUUUGCAUACCAGAGUCUACAAUAUAAAUGCUUAUUAUUUUUUUUUCCUUUUUGCAUUUGUUGUCAUAGAACUCUAUUAAAAAUACAGUUAUGAAGGUGGCUUACUGAAAACAACACAUUUCUCUCACACUUUAUUUGUAAUAAGCAAUAUCUGUUGCCAGUAAUCCAUUCCACAAUUCAUCAUAAUAGAGACAGACAAUAUAUCUAUUUUAAGCCUCAAUAUUAAAACAAAAACAAACAAACAAACAAGCAAAAAAAAAAAACGUUUUGUGACCCUGGACCACAAAACCAGUCUUAAGUCGCUGUGGUAUAUUUGUAGAUAGAUNCCUGGACCACAAAACCAGUCUUAAGUCGCUGGGGUAUAUUUGUAGAUAGAUAUAGCCAAAAGAACAUUGUAUGGGUCAAAAUUAUCGAUUUUUCUUUUAUGCCAAAAAUCGUUAGGAUAUUAAGUAAAGAUCAUGUUCAAUUACGAUAUUUUGUAAAUUUUCUACCGUAAAUAUAUCAAAACUUAAUUUUUGUUUAGUAAUAUGCAUUGUUAAGAAUUCAUUUGGACAAGUUCAAAGGUGAUUUUCUUAGUAUUUAUUUUUAUUUAUUUUUUUGCACCCUUAGAUUCCAGAUUUUCAAAUAGUUGUAUCUCGGCCAAAUAUUGUCCGAUCUUAAUAAANNNNNNNNNNNNNNNNNNNNNNNNNNNNNNNNAAGGU